rnacentral:rRNA from 1 species
CUCAACGAUGAUGCAUACAUGUCAACUAUGGGUGUUGCCUCCAAUAAUUCGCAUUGGUUUCGAACCACUGACAUGCAUUUCAAUGACCAUGAGUUCGAGGUGGACGAGGAUGGUGAGGGCAUUGUAGACGCACCGAAAGGAAGAGCAUGCAAUUACACCAACGUUGAAGACAUCUUACUAUGCAAUACUUGGUUGCAAGUGUCGAGGGAUCCAUCUGUUGGAGGUGAUCAAAGUAGAGAUGCUUAUUGGCUUCGGGUGAAAGAACACUUUGAUGUUCGCAACGUUAGUGGAAUUGACCGCUCCGAUCGAUCUCUUCGCUUUCGGUGGUCGACAAUCAACAAGGAUUGUCAAAAAUGGGCGGCCACACAAAAGGCGGUUGACAAGUUGAACCCAAGUGGCACUAAUGAGGACGAUAGAGUAAGUGCCAUUUCAUCCAUGUUCACCAUGCUUGUUGUUGGUGUUUGA